rnacentral:rRNA from 1 species
GAUGAACGCUAGCGGCAGGCUUAAUACAUGCAAGUCGAGGGACAGCACAGGUAGCAAUACUGGGUGGUAACCGGCAAACGGGUGCGGAACACGUACACAACCUUCCUUUAAGUGGGGGAUAGCCCAGAGAAAUUCGGAUUAAUACCCCGUAAUAUAGUUGAAUGGCAUCAUUUGAUUAUUAUAGCUACGGCGCUUAAUGAUGGGUGUGCGGCUGAUUAGAUAGUUGGCGGGGUGACGGCCCACCAAGUCUACGAUCAGUAGCUGAUGUGAGCGCAUGAUCAGCCACACGGGCACUGAGACACGGGCCCGACUCCGACGGGAGGCAGCAGUAAGGAAUAUUGGUCAAUGGACGCAAGUCUGAACCAGCCAUGCCGCGGGAAGGAUUAAGGUCCUCUGGAUUGUAAACUUCUUUUAUUUGGGACGAAAAAGGGUCUUUCUAGACCAACUGACGGUACCAGAUGAAUAAGCACCGGCUAACUCCGUGCCAGCCGCCGCUGUAAGAC